rnacentral:lncRNA from 10 species
CAUCACAGUAAGUGGCAACUCCAGUCAUCUCAGUUGCUGCUCAGGUCAGAAACCCUGAAGUCACCCUUCACUCCACGCAAUCUCAUCUCUUCCCUUAGAAUGUGCAACCACUUCUCUCAUGUCUGCCACCAUCCUAUACCAAGCCAUCAGCGUCUCUUGCUUGGGUUUACUUCAAUGAACAUACCCACUGGUCUCCCACCCUUG